UGCGCUCCGCGGAGACCUGGGGAGGUGCUGGGGGCUGCCGACGCGCCCCCCGGAAAGUUCAGCGCGUAUUGUUCUGCCCUUAAAACUUGGGCUUCGCCUCCGCCGUGCGCUGGGGGCCGCGGCCCGCUGCCGUGCUGAAUUGGUGAUGACACAAGUGGCGUGCCUCUUGUGCGAACACACACGCCGUCUCCUCGAGUGGGACCCACGCCUGGAGUCCCCGUGUAACACGCGUGCCUUCUUACCCAGCAGCUCUGCCCGUGCACGAUCCUGGGGGGUCUAACUGCCUGUAAUCCAGGCUUGAUCCUGCGUGAGACUUGCACGUUGGGAAACUGUCCGUCUCUUCAGCCCGUGAGAGUUGAAGACGCCUUCAUGUGAGAAUUCUCAAUUUGACCAACAAGUCAUCUUUCCCAGAUUCCGGGCACGCCGUAGCCACGUGUGACACAGAGAAUGCCCUUCUCCUUUUUCCCCAUGGUGGAAGCCUUGAGAACUUUCCCACGGAAUCAGCAGUUGUAACAAUCUCUCCUUGUUUUCAACAAAAAAAAAAAAAGAAAGAAAGAAAAAACUCCUUGCUGACCCAGAUCCCGUUCUUACUGCAACACAGAUCUUCUGCUACAGGUUUUUGUCAUGCGUGCAUUUUGGGCGACAGCAGAGAUGGCCUUCCCAAACAACACCGGGUCCCAGAGUUAGCAGUCUCAGGUGAGGCAGAGCACCGUAGCAAACACACAAGCCUGGCUGUGAUGCAGUCGUGUUUCCCCCCAGUCGCGGGUCUGGGUAGCUCCAUCGGGGCUUCCCAGCAGGGAGGCGACCCUCAAACCUGUUCCUAAUUUCAGCCUAAGUGAAAGACUGAGCGGCAGCUGCUGCAGACACGCUGGUACAGAAUUCCACAGAUGUGGCCUAAUGGGUUGAAGAGUAAAGGAACUAGGCCCCAGAGCAGGGUGCGUUGAAGGAAAGACAAAUUCAAUACGGAUUCCUGUCCCGGGAAGACUUCCCACGUUUGGGAAGAGUGAGCCCUGUUUGUCUUACCAUCUUUUCUUCUACACAUGUGCCGGGUGCUACGGUCAUGACUCGGCAGAUGGGUUGUGACCUGUUAACACCACACAUUGUUACAGCAGCUAAACCGCCGACCGUCCCGCCCCCAGCGCAUUAGGUCUGACCACACAGAACAGAUCACGGGUGCAUGCCUAUGCAAACUUUCUAAACUGAAAAUAAAAUAAAGGAACCAGCAAAAGCCCCGACACUGUGGGUGGGCAAGACACCAAGCCCAGAGCAUGGGGUGAGACCUCCCUGGCACCUGCACAGCCCAGAGGGAAGGCAGAAGUGGCCCUCAGGGGCUUCGGGGGUGUUCGGAUAAGGAAAGAAGUGCUUGGAUAAGAGUGAGCUCCUGUGCUGUUCAUGAGGACCCAUUGCCGAUGGAGAGGCCAGGACAGGGGAGGAGGCUUUGUGGUGUGCGUAAUGUAGAAUUUACCAUUCCAGCCAUUCGCAGGUGUACGGUGUGACAGUCGCAUCCACAAGGUUAGGCCACCGUCACCACCCUCCGUCUCCAGAAUCGUGGCAUCAUUCUAAACAGAAGCCAUCCCUGUGACAGAGCACCCCCCCACACCAGCCCUCCCCGCCUUGGCACCCACAGAGCCGCUUUGAAGUGGGUAGCAGAGUUACCAUCCGGGUCAUCCGGUACUCAGCCUUCUGCAGUCGACUUGCAUCAUUUUAUUUAGCAUGGUGUCCUGAAGGUUCAUGCGUGUUGUGGCGUGGAGCUGGGUGUAAUUUUGCCCCUUUUAAAAAAGACACAGGGGGCAGGCAUUGUGCUACAGCGGUUUAGGCCAGCACGGGGGCCUCCUGCAUCCCACACUGCGUUGCUGCUAGAGUCCCAGCUCCUCCACCUCUGGUCCAGCUUCCGGCCAAUGCAGCCGGGGAGGCAGCAGGUGAUGGCUCAGGGGCCCGGGCCCCUGCCAUCCACGGCGGGUGGACUUCCAGGCUUCUGGCUUCAGUCUGACCCAGUCCCAACAUUUGGGGAUUAAACCAGCUAAUGGAAGAUCUCUCUCUCUGUAACUCUGCCUUUCAAGUAGAUGAAGAUAAUAAAUAAACGUUAAAAACAAAAGAAUGAGAUACAGAGAUUAUCAGUGGAAGCAAGCACUUUGCCACUCACCCAAAAAAAAAAAAAAAUCUG